rnacentral:rRNA from 1 species
GGGUGAGUAACGCGUGGGAAUCUACCCGGUUCUUCGGAAUAACCCAGGGAAACUUGGGCUAAUACCGGAUACGCCCUUAGGGGGAAAGAUUUAUCGGAAUUGGAUGAGCCCGCGUCGGAUUAGCUAGUUGGUGGGGUAAUGGCCUACCAAGGCGACGAUCCGUAGCUGGUCUGAGAGGAUGAUCAGCCACACUGGGACUGAGACACGGCCCAGACUCCUACGGGAGGCAGCAGUGGGGAAUAUUGGACAAUGGGCGCAAGCCUGAUCCAGCCAUGCCGCGUGAGUGAUGAAGGCCUUAGGGUUGUAAAGCUCUUUCAGCGGGGAAGAUAAUGACGGUACCCGCAGAAGAAGCCCCGGCUAACUUCGUGCC